rnacentral:rRNA from 1 species
GACGAACGCUGGCGGCGUGCUUAACACAUGCAAGUCGAACGGAAAGGCCCUGCUUUUGUGGGGUGCUCGAGUGGCGAACGGGUGAGUAACACGUGAGUAACCUGCCCUUGACUUUGGGAUAACUUCAGGAAACUGGGGCUAAUACCGGAUAGGAGCUCCUGCUGCAUGGUGGGGGUUGGAAAGUUUCGGCGGUUGGGGAUGGACUCGCGGCUUAUCAGCUUGUUGGUGGGGUAGUGGCUUACCAAGGCUUUGACGGGUAGCCGGCCUGAGAGGGUGACCGGCCACAUUGGGACUGAGCUGCGGCCCAGACUCCUACGGGAGGCAGCGGUGGGGAAUAGUGCACAAUGGGCGGAAGCCUGGUGCAGCAACGCCGCGUGCGGUAUGACGGCCUUCGGGUUGUAAACCGCUUUCGCCUGUGGCGAAGCGUGAGUGACGGUAAUGGGUAAAGAAGCACCGGCUAACUACGUG